rnacentral:rRNA from 1 species
GAUCCUGGCUCAGGAUGAACGCUAGCUACAGGCUUAACACAUACAAGUCGAGGGGCAGCAUGAAAGGAACUUCGGUUCUUUUUGAUGGCGACCGGCGCACGGGUGCGUAACGCGUAUCGAACCUGCCUCAUACUCGGGGAUAGCCUUGCGAAAGUAAGAUUAAUACCCGGCGGUCUCGGACGGCCGCAUGACAGUCCGAGUGAACCGAUUUAUCGGUAUGAGAUGGCGAUGCGUCCCAUUAG